rnacentral:lncRNA from 1 species
CCAAAGUAACAAAAAAGGGUUGGUCAGAAAUAACCAAUAAGAGAAGAAACGACGACUAAUAUUGACAUCUAAUUGGAAUCAAAGAAAACAUCUUGAAAAUAUUGUCUUCUACGGAGUGGGGGUGGAUGGGUACUCUUUCAAACGUCACCGCAAUGCUAACAGAAGAAAGAAUUGAUAGAUACACAUAAGAGUCCUCUUCAAGGAAACAUGACACCAGCAUGAAGAAGAACUAUAGGUACCCUAGAAAGUAAAAUAGAAAAGGUCACAAAGUGCAUUUUGAUUACCUCUGACGGUGCUAUAUGGCCAGAGAAAUCGAGGACUUCGGUUAAGUUGUUGGAAAUGGAGGACCAGUGCAUAAGUGAGUAGUUCGAUAUAAGAUACACAUCAUUCGAUUAUUUAUUUUUUGACCUCGAAAUUUUAUUGUCCAACAGGAGGACCAGUGCAUAAGUGAGUAGUUCGAUAUAAGAUACACAUCAUGUUUUGAAGUAGCCCAAACCAAGUUCCUCAGCUGCAA